rnacentral:rRNA from 1 species
GAUGGUUGGAUGAGAAAUUUACUUUCUUUAUUUUAAAAAAAUAAAUUGAUUUUUAAGUCAAAAAGCUUAAAUUUAUUUAGAGGACGAGAAGACCCUAUAGAACUUUACUUAUCUUAUUUUGGUUUUUAUUUGUAAAUGACUUUUUAUCACUUUUAGAUAAGUUUUAUUGGGGUGAUAAAAAAAAUUUUUUAACUUUUUUUACUUUUUUCAUUUAUUUAUGUUUUUUUGAUCCUUUUUUAUGGAAAAAAAGUCUAAGUUACCUUAGGGAUAACAGCGUUAUUAUUUUAGAGAGUUCAUAUUGAUAAAAUAGUUUGCCACCUCG